CGCAUACGACCUGAGGGUGAAAUCGGGGGAUCGCAAGACCUCGCGCGAUUGGAGCGGCCGAUAUCAGAUUAGGUAGUUGGUGAGGUAAAGGCUCACCAAGCCGACGAUCUGUAGCUGGUCUGAGAGGACGACCAGCCACACUGGGACUGAGACACGGCCCAGACUCCUACGGGAGGCAGCAGUGGGGAAUUUUGGACAAUGGGCGCAAGCCUGAUCCAGCCAUGCCGCGUGCGGGAAGAAGGCCUUCGGGUUGUAAACCGCUUUUGUCAGGGAAGAAAAGGUUCUGGCUAAUACCUGGGACUCAUGACGGUACCUGAAGAAUAAGCACCGGCUAACUACGUGCCAGCAGCCGCGGUAAUACGUAGGGUGCAAGCGUUAAUCGGAAUUACUGGGCGUAAAGCGUGCGCAGGCGGUUAUGCAAGACAGAGGUGAAAUCCCCGGGCUCAACCUGGGAACUGCCUUUGUGACUGCAUGGCUAGAGUACGGUAGAGGGGGAUGGAAUUCCGCGUGUGGCAGUGAAAUGCGUAGAUAUGCGGAGGAACACCGAUGGCGAAGGCAAUCCCCUGGGACCUGUACUGACGCUCAUGCACGAAAGCGUGGGGAGCAAACAGGAUUAGAUACCCUGGUAGUCCACGCCCUAAACGAUGUCAACUGGUUGUUGGGAGGGUUUCUUCUCAGUAACGUAGCUAACGCGUGUAAGUUGACCGCCCUGGGGAGGUACGGCCGCCAAGUUGGAAACUCAAAGGAAUAUGACGGGGACCCGGCACAAGCCGGUGGAAUGAUGUGGGUUUAAUUCGAAUGCAACGCCGAAAAACCUUUACCUACCCUUGACAUGUCUGGAAUCCUGGAGGAGAUUUGGGAGGUGCUCUAAGAAAGCUAUAACACCAGUGCUGCAUGGCCGUCGUCCAGCUCGUG
rnacentral:rRNA from 1 species